CGUAGGGGGCAAGCGUUGUCCGGAUUUAUUGGGCGUAAAGCGCGCGUAGGCGGCGCGGUAUGUCGUGCGUGAAAUCUCCCGGCUUAACUGGGAGGGGCCGUGCGAAACUGCCGGGCUUGAGGUCAGAAGGGGAAAGUGGAAUUCCGGGUGUAGUGGUGGAAUACGUAGAUAUCCGGAGGAACACCAGCGGCGAAGGCGGCUUUCUGGUCUGAUACUGACGCUGAGGCGCGAAAGCGUGGGGAGCGAUCCGGAUUAGAUACCCGGGUAGUCCACGCCGUAAACGAUGAGUACUAGGUGUCGGGGGUAUCGACCCCCUCGGUGCCGUCGCUAACGCAUUAAGUGCUCCACCUGGGGACUACGGCCGCAAGGCUA
rnacentral:rRNA from 1 species